CUACAGAAGUGAGUGUUGAUGACUGGGAUUGGCUAGUUAAGGAACAUUAUUUUUCUUCAAAAUUUUAGAAAGCAAGCCAACAAAAUACACUUAACAGAGGCAAAAGAAAGAUGCUCCACCACACGGGCAGCAAACCCUUUAGACAAAUUGCGUGGGAAUUGGGUGGCAAGUCAGGAAAUCCACCUGAUGUGGC